rnacentral:rRNA from 1 species
ACGGGGGGACUCCUACGGGAGGCAGCAGUGGGGAAUAUUGGACAAUGGGGGCAACCCUGAUCCAGCGAUGCCGCGUGUGUGAAGAAGGCCUUCGGGUUGUAAAGCACUUUCGCGGGGGAAGAAACUUCGCGCUCUAACAUAGCGCGGCACUGACGGUACCCCGAGAAGAAGCGCCGGCUAACUCCGUGCCAGCAGCCGCGGUAAU